GUGUGGGUUGUAGACUCCGUCUCAUGCUACCACUAGAGUGAAAGCACCGCCAGCAUUCAAAAGUGACCAAAACAUCAGCCAGGAAGCAUAGGAACUGAGAAGUGGUCUGUGGUCACCACCUGCAGAACCACUCCUUUAUUGGGGUGUCUUGCUAAUUGCCUAUAAUUUCCACCUGUUGUCUAUCCCAUUUGCACAACAGCAUGUGAAAUUGAUUGUCACUCAGUGUUGCUUCCUAAGUGGAUA